rnacentral:lncRNA from 1 species
AAGAUUUUGGGCUGCACCUCACCCUACUCAAACUCCAAAGGCAAGCAUGGUGAACUCUAAUUUGCAUAAAGUUGUGUGAUGUUCGUGGUGGUACAUCCAUUGCGUGAUUUUAGGUUAUGUUGAUGAAAAUCUUGCAUGAAAUCAUACUUUGCAUAAGAGCAUGUGAUGGAUCUUUUUGUUGCUAAGUUUGUGGAAGGCAAGUGCUGACUGGUUACUGCCUCAUACUUCGUAUGCUACGUUAAUCUGGACAACCUCGGAGUAAGGUGUGUGUGGUGGAAAUGAGACCAUAGGCUGACACCUCGUGGGACGAGAGUGGUCAGUGAAAUCAUGUCAGGGUGUGAUGGUAGUAACCCUGACAUAAUUCCUCCACCAAUAUUAUGUGGUACUAACCCUUGCAGGAAAAUAUUAAACCUCCUAAGUCGACCGUAGAUCGAGUCUUGUCUGUGUAUCACUGAUACGUCUCCAACGUAUCUAUAAUUUUUUAUGGUUCCAUAAUAUUAUCUUGUCAAACUUUGGAUGUUUUGUAUGCCUUUUAUAUCUUUUUUUGGGACUAACUUAUUAACUCAGUGCCAAGUGCCAGUUCCUCUUUUUUCCGUGUUUUUGACCCUUUUCAGAGGAGGAUUUUAAACGGUGUCCAAACGGAAUAAAACUUCCGAAAAGAUUUUUUCCGGAAAAGAAGAUACGCACGAGACUUGUGAACCAAGGCAUGGGCCACCAGGGGACCCCACAAGCCCCCUAGGCGCGGCCAGGGGGGCCCGCGCCUAGCAGGCUUGUGGACCCCCUGUGGCUCGUCUGCCCUACCUCUUCCGCCUAUAAAUUCAUAAAAAUUCCAAAACUGCGAGAGAGAUCCACGAAAAUACUUUUCCGCCGCCGCAAUCUUCUGUCUCCGCAAGAUCCCAUCUGGGGCAUGUUCUGGUGCCCUGCCGGAGGGAGGAUUCAAAUAUGGAGGGCUUCCUCAUCAACACCAUGACCUCUCCGAUGAUGCGUGAGUAGUUCACCAUAGACCUUCGGGUCCAUAGCUAGUAGCUAGAUAGCUUCUUCUCUCUCUUGGAUCUUCAAUACAAAGUUCUCCAUGAUCUUCAUGGAGAUCUAUCCGAUGCAAUCUUCUUUUGCGGUGUGUUUGUCGAGAUCCGAUGAAUUGUGGAUUUAUGAUCAGAUUAUCUAUGAAUCUUAUUUGAG